rnacentral:sRNA from 1 species
UCUCGUUUAAACAAUGUCAUCCCUAACCUCUAUGACAUCCUUGUAGCUCUUUAACUACGCCAGUGCGAAUAAAUUUCUUCAAAACAAA